rnacentral:lncRNA from 1 species
UAUAAUACUAUAACACAUAAUUAAUAUGUUAAUACAUAUUAAUUUUAAUUUUAAUUUUACAUGUUAAUUAAUUUUACAAGCCCCCAAUAUAAUACAUAUUAAUUUUAAUUUUAAUUUUACAUGUUAAUUAAUUUUACAAGCCCCCAAUAUAAUACAUAUUAAUUUUAAUUUUACAAUACAUAUUAAUUUUAUAAUGCAUCUCCAACUAAUACAUGUUAAUUUUAAUUUUAUUUUAAAUUUUUUAUUUUACACGUUAAAUUUGAAAUAAUUAAAAUUUAAAUAGAAAAUUUUUAAUAUCAAAUUUAAAUUUUAAAUGUUAAAUUUAAAUUUUAAAAUUAAAAUUAAAAUUAUUAAAAAACACCAAAAUACACCAUAAACAUCUCAGUCCUCACAACAAUAAAUUUUAGUACUAUUUUACUAUAAUUUAAUUAUGUUACAUUUUCAUGGUUAUCCAAACAUGACUUUUCUUCUUUUUUUUUUUCUUUUUUUUUUCUUUUUUUUUUUGAGAGAUAGGUAGCACGCUACCCGCUUCGUUUAUUUAUUUAGAAAUAAACUUAGCUGGAAAUGUGAAUCAACUAGGAUUCGAACUUGGGUCUCGGGUACCAACCACCAAGCCCUUUGCCACUUGCUCUAGGAACGGUCGGUGACUUUUUUUGAAUGUUGGAUUGGGAACCGCGAGCUUUCUAAGAGUUUGACCUCCG